AGUGAACGCUGGCGGUAGGCCUAACACAUGCAAGUCGAACGGCAGCACAGUAAGAGCUUGCUCUUACGGGUGGCGAGUGGCGGACGGGUGAGGAAUACAUCGGAAUCUACUUUUUCGUGGGGGAUAACGUAGGGAAACUUACGCUAAUACCGCAUACGACCUACGGGUGAAAGCAGGGGAUCUUCGGACCUUGCGCGAUUGAAUGAGCCGAUGUCGGAUUAGCUAGUUGGCGGGGUAAAGGCCCACCAAGGCGACGAUCCGUAGCUGGUCUGAGAGGAUGAUCAGCCACACUGGGACUGAGACACGGUCCAGACUCCUACGGGAGGCAGCAGUGGGGAAUAUUGGACAAUGGGCGCAAGCCUGAUCCAGCCAUACCGCGUGGGUGAAGAAGGCCUUCGGGUUGUAAAGCCCUUUUGUUGGGAAAGAAAAGCAGCGGGUUAAUACCCCGCUGUUCUGACGGUACCCAAAGAAUAAGCACCGGCUAACUUCGUG
rnacentral:rRNA from 1 species